GGGACGGAACAGGGGGUAUGAACGUUUGUCAUUUCUCAAUGUUUAUAGGAUGUUUUAAGACUAACAAUCACAUUAAAUUGAUGUAUCUGUAGCUCUUGUGAAGUAAAGAGGUAUCUUUUCAAUAUAAAUAAUUCAUUUUUCUAUGCCAGCUGCUACAACAUACAAAGAAGAUUCAGCACAUUUUCUGCACUCAAAACACUAGAGGGAAAACAUAAUAGCUUUUGGUGUCUCAACAACUCCUCUUUCUUGUGAACGUUAAUUAAAAUAAUUAAUCAACUACUGUGAACACAAAGCUUGUAAGGCAUCAGAUCCGACAUCAGUGAAAAAAGUGAAGUCUGGAUAGUUACAAGGAAAACUACAAAAGCUGCAUCCGUGUUUCUCACCUGGGGGAGCUUUCUUACAGCAAACAUUUCACUGGCAGUAGCAGCUGUGAUAUAAAAUCCUGCAGAAGUAACGCAUUUGUUUUCCAUGUAACCUUAUUUAUGCAAAUUCAGUCACCUUUAGGACUCUCAUAUGGGCCUAGGAGUACCUUAAUCAUCUGUAGGAAUUUAGAGUGAGGUAGCUAACCAACAUUAAUUAUUCCAAGGUAAAGGUGAAUCAUCUUUAGUAGUGAUGACAAAGAUCAUAGUUAGACCAGACAUUCCUGAGUAACCAGAAGACUGGGUAUUGUUAUUCUAAGGUAAUGGAGAAAAACACAACAUAACUUGUAUUUAUCUUUAUCUCUUGAAAAGAUGAACCUUUCAUGAUGUAAAGUUCAAUCAGUUCAAAUGCUGCUAUAAUCUUAAUUGACUGGUAAACAAUUCAAAGCCUGCAUUGCUCUUGUUUAAGUGGUACUAUGCACCAUUAACAUUAUUUCAGAACCUUUUAUUUGAGAAGUGUUGAAGUAGCUGUACUUUUACUAAUAAUAUUUAGCCAAAAGAGGACUCAUGAGCUACAGAAAAGCAUGAGCUUUUGUCAUCAUAAAACUAUCUUGGCUUUUGCCUGAGAAAAAUUUUGAGUUGUUUCUCCAUUUUUUUUUCAGGAAAAAAAUAUUUAGCAAUAUGCAAAGGCAGUAAAGUUACAAAUGUGCAACAGAUGGGCUACUGCCAAAAUUUUCAGAGACUCCAAGGAACUGAGGCAGAUGGGAGCAAGCUGGAGCAGCUAAACCUACAUAAUUUCAGCAGCUGUGCUGGAAGGAGAGAUCAACGGUGGGUUUUCCCAUCCUCUUGAAAAAUGGCCUUUGCUUGCUAGCAGUUAACUUCAUGUCUGGUGUUGACACUUGAGAGAUCAGCUCUUUUUUUUUUUGUAGUACAGAGUAAGUUUUUACAGUUUACAAACCAGCCUUAUGUUUUAUAGUCUCUUUAAGAAGGAAAAGAAAAAAAAAAAGAAAAUGAGAGAAAGAUAUAUUAUAUAUCUAAGUAAUUUAAAGAGUCAUGCUCUCAAGUGCCAUCAACUACCAGGAAUGUGGUUGUGAGGUAACACGUCCAUCCUCCUUAAACACAGAUCAAUAUUACAUAUUUUUAAAUUAUUUUUUCCAAUCUCCACCGUCACUGCAAUGCCUAAGAAAAUGCAUGAACAAAAAUGUAAUUAUGAAUUUACAUAUUGAAAAAGGCAUUUUAGUUUAUUUAAAGGUCUAUACACUCAGCUGUUAUUUUUGCUACUUAUGGCCAUCACGUGAGAAAUCUAGGGCAAAACCUGCUCUUGCCAACACUGCCUUCCCCAUCCCUGAAAGAUCCAGUAGGCAGUUGUAAUGUUGGGCUGUUCGGGAGGGAAGAUAAGGGCUGGAUGCCAUGAAAUGCCCUCACCAUACAGGCGAGGCUGUACUUUUGAAGACUUACCUACUGCCCCAGCAAUAAAAUCAGGAGCUAGGAUGUGCCUGAGGUAUCGUGUCUCUCUGUGUUUUUGAUGGCAGUCCUCUCCUCCCAAGUGUUUUGUCACCUCACGUGAGGGAAAAAAAAAAAAAGAAAGAAAUUGGGGUGUGGGAGGGAAGAGUGGUGCUGGUGGGGCACUGCCACAGAAUGUUCUAGCACAGGGUGGAGUCCUGGUAGCUUCUGAGGGCGGGAGGAGAAGAGCCCUCGGGUCUGGGCUUGGUGUCUGCGUGAGCAGCCCUUGAAGGAGAGAGGAGUUAGGACCUAACCGUUUCGGCAUUCCACUGGGAAGCUGUGGCCUGUUAUCCCCCAGCGAAGGUGCUGAUAGGAGCUCCUUGCAGUACCUUGUAACUGACUAUAUCAACCUCGCUGGAGUAAACUGGAAAACAAAUGUGCAGAAGUGGUUUGAGUCCUUCCCACAGGCACAUCUCAGGCCGGGUGACGGCCCACUGCACGUCUGCAGCUGGGAUCUUUCGCAUGUGGAAUCUCACAAGGCGGUCGUCGUAGGGCACCUCCGUGUAAAUGCGAAUUUUGCAUCAUCUUUAAGCUGCUCCACUGCACUGUCUGUGACGUUACUUCCCUCAACGCAGAACUAGCUGCCUCGUCAAAAAAAGAUGCCUUAUAGAGUGAACAUUACAGGGAGAAGGAACAUGCAUCUACGGCUGAGUGAAGCAAAAAGUGAGUUGUUUUUAGAAGAGGCUAGUGCCUGCCACACUUGUAUUAGAGCUUCAGUGAUAACCUCAACCAUCUCUUUGAUUGACUGACUUUUAACACCUUAUUAGUUCCUUCUGAUCCUUAUCCAGAGGUUUUCUUUGUGUUGCACUUGCCCCUGAGCCUUCCAGAAGCACCUGCACAGCUUUUUAGAUAUCAGUGAGCUAAAUCUGCUGUGUCAGAGUGUUAAGUAAGCACCGUAUGGUGUGCAGAAAGUCCUGCUAAUUUCUUCACAUCUUCUGUCCAUUCAUGGCUGAGGAAGGAAAUAACGUGCAACUAAGAAAACACUUAUUAUUCUAUUUCUUGAUGCGUCUCCUUAGGCUGAAAACUUAUCAUUCUACUUGAACUCUUGGGUGUUCCUAAAAGCAUGUACCAAUCAUAGUAGACAAGAUCCCCAGAAUUGUCCUACUAAAUGCCAUUAUUCUGACAGCAGUCUGGGAUGUGACUGUAUCUACUGUAUAAAUGUGACGGUGUGUUCUCCCCGGCCACUUCUCACCUUCUGUCUGGCCUUUGCUUUGUUCAAACACUGGCUGUUGCAUCCUAGCAAGGACUCACAAAGGAGUGUUAACUAAACAUGUUGCAACUCUGAUCCGUUAACAAGAAGUUGUGCUAGUAAAAGCCUGCUUUAUACUAGGAAAAGGAUUUGUAUGACAACAGUUAUGAAAGAAUUGGACCACAGAACCACAACAAAAACAUGGGUUUUAUAAUCAGGUUUAUAAAGGAAAUAAUUUAGCCUGAAGAUGUAGCAAAGAUCUCGUUACAGGCGAUGGUUCUAUUGCAGUGGUUCCCUUCUAAGAUUUCCUCUUAAUACAGUAAUUGGAAACUCUGCUCUUCAUUAGAAAAGGUGCUCAAAUUUAGGCAAAAGCUAUCCAAACCCGCUCUUACCCCAUCUGGUUGAGAGGUGGGACGUGAACAAGAGUCGUGGAUCAAACCAAGUGAAUGUUUUCUCUGUGAUCAAAAUACAGGACACUGAGGGAGUGCUUUAGGGUUCAACAAAACAUUAAAUAAUUAUUUAAAUAAGUCCCCUGCUCAGAUUUUAUGACUAUUUUAAAAAUACGUUUCACACUAGCAAAUACAACACUGUUUUCCUUAUCAAUUUGGAGUCCACAGAUGCCAGUUACAACGGGAGCCUGGCUUUAGUUAGUCUAUAGACAAGCUGUACUCCUGAAACCUUACAACUUCAAUUAAAUAGCUUUUUGGUUUUGAGCAUUAAAUAAUUCAAGCUGGUGUUAGGCUGAAUGUAAAUGUUGUUAUAAAGCAGCCAUAAAAACUGAGGAUUGGAUACAGCUUCCAUAUUGACUGUCAGUUUACCUAAUGGAUGAUGAAUCUCAUGCUUUUUAAGUGAACUAUGCAUGCAUUUUUUCAAGACUAUGUGUGGUCUUGCAGAGUCAGUAACAAACAACUGCAAAAUGCUUACUUUCUUCAGUCCGUAGUGCUGUAUCCAGAUGAUAAGUUACACAGCAGCUCUAAGAUAAUGACUACAGAAACAUACUCCACGAGUGGGACAGAAUCGUUUUCCUAACCAGCUGUUCAACAUGCAACCUUCAGUACAAUUUCUUCUU